GAAAGUGUGAGUGGAGGCCACUGGCGCCCCAUGCAGGAUGUUCCCUAACUAGCAUCGCACCCUGUGCCUCUGGGAUAGGCUCCGGACUGCCGCGACCCUGACUUGGACACGUGGUCAACAAAGGUCUGUGACCAAGUGAUCCGUAGUUAAAUACUUCACAUGGCUUCUAGAUUAAAAACUGCAAAUACACAGACAUGAAACGUGGCGUGACAAUAAGCAGAUGUGCGUAAAGCUGCUGCAUUAAAGCCAAAUGAUGUAUUGUGAUCCCACAAAAUUUUUUUUGCCUUUUUCUGAAGCUAAGAGAGGGAUUUUACAAAAGGUCGGCACACGUGUGAGUGAAACAUUUUUAGCCUUUCUUUUUAAACCGUUUGUGCUCAGUUAAGAAUGAGAGGACUCGCGUAAACUACGCUUAGAUGUUUUCUAAAUGCAUCUUUUGACGACACUGAUUUAAAUGGUGCGGUGGAAAAUGCAGUGGAAAAUACGAGUGGGUGGCUGGGGGGGGUCAAUGGCCCCCCGCACAGUGCUGAGAAAUAGCUGUUGCCACAGGCUGAAGCCGAGGAUGUGGGCAGAGGGAGCACUCGGGGCAACGGAAUUUUACCGGGCCGAUCGAAGAGGCCGCCGCGAGGCACCCAUUAUCCUGUCGGCCGCGAGCUCGGCGCAAGCCUGCAUGGUGUGUUCCUACUUGACCCGGACUCGGAGCCAAGACGAGGCCGUUAUGGGCGAAAACCAAGCGGUGGAACGACCUCCCCCUCCUACUCAGAACUGCUGAAUCCCUGACCGCAUUUAAAAAGGGUCUUAAACCUCACCUCUUCCAGACUCACUUCGCCCAUCAUCUCUUAAGUUCAUGUAAGGUGUAAAUGUUCAUGCUCCAUAGCUUUAAGAUCAUGCCCAGAUAAAUAAAUAUAUACAUACACACA
rnacentral:lncRNA from 1 species